rnacentral:ncRNA from 1 species
ACAAAAAUAAAUUAAAGCUUGUAUAAUAGUUGAAAUAAGGUCAACGAGUCUCUACCUGCCACCGUAAAUUGGCGGACUACAAGGAUAGAUUUUUGA